rnacentral:rRNA from 1 species
CGGAGGGUGCAAGCGUUAUCCGGAUUUACUGGGUUUAAAGGGUGCGUAGGUGGGUCUGUAAGUCAGUGGUGAAAUCUUCAAGCUUAACUUGGAAACUGCCAUUGAUACUAUAGGUCUUGAAUUAUCUGGAGGUAAGCGGAAUAUGUCAUGUAGCGGUGAAAUGCUUAGAUAUGACAUAGAACACCAAUUGCGAAGGCAGCUUACUACGGAUUGAUUGACACUGAGGCACGAAAGCGUGGGAUCAAACAGGAUU